rnacentral:rRNA from 1 species
AGCGAAAUUAAAUAGCCUGUAAAGAUUCAGGCUUCCCUUGGUCAGACGAGAAGACCCCGUUGAGCUUGAUUCCUAUCUCUCUUUGUAAAUAAGCACAAAGAGCCGAUCGUCUAAGAGAGUGAAAGAAUUUGGUUGGGGCGACCCCCCGAACGUAAGAAACUCGGGGAAGCAAUGGUUAUACCCUAAGGCAGACCUGCUUAACUGGUAGGAUGACAGUCCAGCCAGAUAACUGAUUGUUAGGCGCUAAAGUCCCAUUGGUAAUAGCCAAUGAUCAUGAAUAAAAGUUACCACGGGGAUAACAGGGUAAUCUUUCCCUAGAGUUCUUAUCGUAGGAAAGGUUUGCCACCUCGAUGUUGAAUAGCAGUGUCCUUGAGGUGCAGAAGCUUCGUAGGGUUGGUCUGUUCGACCAUUAAAACUGUACUUGAUCUGAGU